UCUGUUGCUAGCCUUUUGGGGUUGUAGUAUGUUCCAAGGGUUGGGUUGUUCGCCCAUUAAAGCACUGCAUGAGCUGGGUUCAGAACGUUGUGAGACAGUUC
rnacentral:ncRNA from 1 species